rnacentral:rRNA from 1 species
GCCCAAGGUUUCCUGCUCUACGUUCAUCGGAGCAGGGUGAGUCGGCCCCUAAGGCGAGGCUGAGAAGCGUAGCUGAUGGGAACAAGGUUAAUAUUCCUUGACCGCCGUUGAGUGCGAAGGGGGGACGGAGUGUUGAAGAUCAUCCGGGUGUUGGAUGUCCCGGUUUGUGAACGUAGGAGGCCGGCAGGCAAAUCCGCCGGCAUAUCUCCGAGGUGAAGCAUCGAGGUCCGUAUGGACCGAAGUGAUCGGAUGGGCUCCCAGGAAAAGCCUCUAAGCUCCAGCUCAACGGGACCGUACCGCAAACCGACACUGGUGGGCGAGCUGAAUAUGCUCAGGCGCUUGAGAGAACUCAGGAGAAGGAACUCGGCAAAUUGACACCGUAACUUCGGGAUAAGGUGUGCCUCGGUAGCGUGAAGGAAGAAACAUCCGGAGCGUGAAGAGGUCUCAGAGAAUCGGUGGCUGCGACUGUUUACUAAAAACACAGCACUCUGCAAAGACGAAAGUCGACGUAUAGGGUGUGAUGCCUGCCCGGUGCUGGAAGAUUAAGUGAUGGGGUGAGAGCUCCUGAUCGAAGUCCCAGUAAACGGCGGCCGUAACUAUAACGGUCCUAAGGUAGCGAAAUUCCUUGUCGGGUAAGUUCCGACCUGCACGAAUGGCAUAAUGAUGGCCACACUGUCUCCUCCCGAGACUCAGUGAAGUUGAAAUGUUUGUGAUGAUGCAAUCUCCCCGCGGCUAGACGGAAAGACCCCAUGAACCUUUACUGUAGCUUUGCAUUGGACUUUGAACCGAUCUGUGUAGGAUAGGUGGGAGGCUGUGAAACCGGGACGCCAGUACCGGUGGAGCCGUCCUUGAAAUACCACCCUGAUUUGUUUGAGGUUCUAACCUAGGUCGGUAAUCCCGAUCGGGGACCGUGCAUGGUAGGCAGUUUGACUGGGGCGGUCUCCUCCUAAAGGGUAACGGAGGAGUGCGAAGGUACGCUAGGUACGGUCGGAAAUCGUGCUGAUAGUGCAAUGGCAAAAGCGUGCUUGACUGCGAGACCCACAAGUCGAGCAGAUACGAAAGUAGGUCAUAGUGAUCCGGUGGCUCUGUAUGGAAGGGCCAUCGCUCAACGGAUAAAAGGUACUCUGGGGAUAACAGGCUGAUACCGCCCAAGAGUUCAUAUCGACGGCGGUGUUUGGCACCUCGAUGUCGGCUCAUCUCAUCCUGGGGCUGUAGCCGGUCCCAAGGGUAUGGCUGUUCGCCAUUUAAAGAGGUACGUGAGCUGGGUUUAAAACGUCGUGAGACAGUUUGGUCCCUAUCUGCCGUGGGCGCUGGAAGAUUGACGGGGGCUGCUCCUAGUACGAGAGGACCGGAGUGGACGCACCUCUGGUGUACCGGUUGUCACGCCAGUGGCAUCGCCGGGUAGCUAUGUGCGGAAGAGAUAACCGCUGAAAGCAUCUAAGCGGGAAACUUGCCUGAAGAUAAGUCUUCCUGGAGGCUAGACCUCCCUAAAGAGUCGUUCGAGACCAGGACGUUGAUAGGUUGGGUGUGUAAGCGCUGUGAGGCGUUGAGCUAACCAAUACUAAUUGCUCGUGCAGCUUGAUCCU